UCUAAAAAUAGUUUUUAGCGGUAAAGUUAUCCUUGAUACUGCAAGUAAUAUUGCUGUUUGCAUACUCAAUGAUGGCUAUUCAAAAGUUAUAAAAAUUAUGGAAGAGUUAAGCAUGACAAUUGGACCGAACUGCUACAAUUACUGCCUCGAGAAUAACGCGCGACGCAUCAAGUAUUCGGUGCGCUUGCUAACAAAUGCUGCAAAAGGGACUUGAUUAUCUCUAAAAUCGACCAAGAGGGUUAAGGAGGAGGAGAACAUCAAUAAGGAAAGCCAAUUGUAUGGUGCAGAUUAAAGAGCAAAAAUUGGAGCAGAUUUUGGUUUGGCAGUGAGGCACCUUCCGAAACGUGUGGUCAAGUUUUUUCACCGCCAUUUUGUAAUAAAACUACACAACAAAAAUUUUUUUAAUACUUUGAAAUAUGUAGAAUAAGGUACUUAAAAAAGAUUUUGCUUUACUGUUUUCGUUUUCCUGUAAAAAAUGAUCAAAAAUAGGCCUUUUUUGGAGGCUCUAGAGUGGCGUUACUCCUUAACAUAUCUGAGUUAAAGUCUAUGUAAAAAUUAUAAUUUAGCAUUGAAAAAUUUAAUUUAGUGCUUCA